rnacentral:rRNA from 1 species
GCAAGUCUGGUGCCAGCAGCCGCGGUAAUUCCAGCUCCAAUAGCGUAUAUUAAAGUUGCUGCAGUUAAAAAGCUCGUAGUUGAAUUUCGGGACCAAUAUGUCGGUCGUGCCUCGGUACGUACUGGCAUCGUUGGUUUCUCCCUUCUGACGAACCAUGAUGUCAUUUAUUUGGUGUAGUGGGGAAUCAGGACUGUUACUUUGAAAAAAUUAGAGUGUUUAAAGCAGGCUCACGCUUGAAUACAUUAGCGUGGAAUAAUGAAAUAGGACGUUUGAUUCUAUUUUGUUGGUUUCUAGGAUCGACGUAAUGAUUAAUAGGGAUAGUUGGGGGCAUUAGUAUUCAAUUGUCAGAGGUGAAAUUCUUGGAUUUAUUGAAGACUAACUACUGCGAAAGCAUUUGCCAAGGAUGUUUUCAUUAAUCAAGAACAAAAGUUAGGGGAUCGAAGACGAUCAGAUACCGUCGUAGUCUUAACCAUAAACUAUGCCGACUAGGGAUCGGAUGAUGUUAAUUUUUUAAUGACUCAUUCGGCGCCUUACGGGAAAC